CAGUUCUGUAUUUAUAGCAGUGUAAACGAGAUAUUUAAACUAUUCUCGGACCACAUGACGUGACACAGAGGGAGGUGACAGAGGGAGUUUAAAAGGAUCGGCAAGUGUGAGAACACGCUUGUGGCAAAUAAAUCUGUUAGUUGAAGUUUUCAGUGACACGGAUUCUGGACCCACAGCGGGAAUAAUGAUGUUCUGCAGAGUGGCUUGGCAAAGACUUGCGCCUCUGGCACACAAAACACUCAAUCCUUUCAGCAAUGCUGUGUUCCCUACGCGACAGAUGUCCUUUGGUCUACCUGUGUCCGGCACAAACAUAGCUUACAUGGUACUUGGUGGCAGCUCGCUUACUGCUGCUCUUGUUUAUGCUUAUAAGACAAUAAACUCUGACAGUGCAAGAUAUAAUGAAAGAAUUGCUCAACUCGAGGCCAGACCUAAAAGAGCAGUGGCCGAGGUGGCCUCAGUAGCAGAAGCAGCUGAACUUGCCACAGUUGUUGAGGCCACAGCAGCACAACCCGUCACUGAGGUUGUUAAAGCAGAGGCUGAACAGACCCCAGAACCUGUGGAUGCAACACUGGAAGUUGGGGCAGCAACUACCAUUGUAGAGGCAGUAGCAGCUGAUGCUGAGGAACCUACUGCACCUGUUGUUGAGGAUGUUGCUGCUGAGGCUGCUUCUCCCAGUGCCGAGACAACCGGUGCGGCAUCUUCUGCUGAGGAAGCAGUCUGAAUCCCCAGCAGUCUAGAUAUGUGAUUCUUCCCAACCCACCUCGGAACGCUGCAUUAACUUUUAGAGACUCCCAUUUGUGUGCUCCUUUUAACUGAUUGACUGUGUCCUCUGCACAAAAAAGAAGUGUCCCUUCUGAACUCCACAGGGUGCUAAUCCCACAGUUGAGGAGGAGGAGAGGUUAAGGAAGUCCAAAAAUCAGUGGCAACACUUUUAAAUUCCAAACGGCGGUUUUAUCAUCCCAGUCUGUGUUUUGAUGCUUGAAGAUCUAAUGUAAAUAUGAUUUUUUUUUUUUUUCUUUUACAUCUCCUCCUUCACAUCCAGUGGAUAUGCCUGCUGUAAUACUUGUUGCUGUGUCCCUGCAGUAUAACAUAUUGUGUCUCAUAGGUGUGCAGGGAGACAUUUUUCUUAAAUAGCUUAAUAUUGACAGUGACUUUUUACAAUAACUGUAAUUUUAACUUGAAAAAGGAAGUUUAUCGAGACAAAUUUUAAAUGAUGGCUUGACAAAACCUUGUUGUGUAGAACUUGACAAAGUUUAAUUUCAGCCUUAUUGACAGAAACAAACAUAGAUCUGUUUGAAAUGUCACAUAUAAACCAUCUUUAGCCGCUUUAGGUAAAUAACUAGAAGAAAAACAAAUUGCAAUAAACAGAUAAAUGAUAUAAAAUAAAUGAAUAGU
ensembl:lncRNA